rnacentral:rRNA from 1 species
CCUACGGGUGGCAGCAGUGAGGAAUAUUGGUCAAUGGGCGAGAGCCUGAACCAGCCAAGUCGCGUGAAGGAUGACGGCCCUACGGGUUGUAAACUUCUUUUGUCAGGGAGCAAUUGAGUCCACGUGUGGGCUUAGCGAGAGUACCUGCAGAAAAAGCAUCGGCUAACUCCGUGCCAGCAGCCGCGGUAAUACGGAGGUUGCGAUCGUUAUCCGGAUUUAUUGGGUUUAAAGGGUUCGUGGGCGGAAUAUCAAGUCAGCGGUAAAGAUUAGGGGCUAAACCCCGUCGUGCCGUUGAAACUGAUGUUCUUGAGUGGGCGAGAAGUAUGCGGAAUGCGUGGUGUAGCGGUGAAAUGCAUAGAGAGCACGCAGAACUCCGAUUGCGAAGACAGCAUACCGGCGCCCAACUGACGCUGAAGCACGAAAGCGUGGGUAUCGAACAGGAUUAGAUACCCCGGUAGUC